rnacentral:rRNA from 1 species
AACGAACGCUGGCGGCAUGCCUAACACAUGCAAGUCGAACGAAGGCUUCGGCCUUAGUGGCGCACGGGUGCGUAACGCGUGGGAAUCUGCCCUUGGGUUCGGAAUAACAGUGGGAAACCGCUGCUAAUACCGGAUGAUGACGUAAGUCCAAAGAUUUAUCGCCCAAGGAUGAGCCCGCGUAGGAUUAGCUAGUUGGUGGGGUAAUGGCCCACCAAGGCGACGAUCCUUAGCUGGUCUGAGAGGAUGAUCAGCCACACUGGGACUGAGACACGGCCCAGACUCCUACGGGAGGCAGCAGUGGGGAAUAUUGGACAAUGGGCGAAAGCCUGAUCCAGCAAUGCCGCGUGAGUGAUGAAGGCCUUAGGGUUGUAAAGCUCUUUUACCCGGGAUGAUAAUGACAGUACCGGGAGAAUAAGCUCCGGCUAACUCCGUGCCAGCCGCCGCAGUAA